CUUAGUGGAUGUGCUUGCCUGUCAGAGAUUUUUCACCAUUAACUGGCUAUUAAUGCUGGUAGUACAAGAACCAGAAGAAUGACUUGUUUGCAGGAAUUGUAUCUCCAGACCAUUUUGUUCCUGCCUGAAAAUACCAAGAUAAUUCGCUAGUGGCUCUUGGCUUGUGGCUCUUGUUUUGACAGCCUGUGGU